AACGAACGCUGGCGGCGUGGAUAAGACAUGCAAGUCGAACGAUUAUCACCGGGUAGCAAUAUUCGGUGGUGAGAGUGGCGCAAGGGUGCGUAACACGUGGGUAAUUUGCCGUAAAGUCUGGGAUAACUUGCUGAAAGGCGAGCUAAUACCGGAUGUGAUUGCGUGGGGGGGACAUCCUCUGGCACUUAAAGUCGGGGACCGUAAGGCCUGACACUUUUCGAUAACGCCCGCGGCCUANCAGCUAGUUGGUGAGGUAACGGCUCACCAAGGCUAAGACGGGUAGCUGGUCUGAGAGGACGACCAGCCUCACUGGAACUGAGACACGGUCCAGACACCUACGGGUGGCAGCAGUCGAGUAAUUUUUCUCAAUGGGGAAACCCUGAAGGAGCGACGCCGCGGUGGGGGAUGAAUGGCUUCCGGCCCCGUAAA
rnacentral:rRNA from 1 species